rnacentral:rRNA from 1 species
UACAGAGGGGGCAAGCGUUAUUCGGAAUUAUUGGGCGUAAAGGGCGCGUAGGCGGCCAGGCAAGUGGAAGGUGAAAUCCCUCGGCUUAACCGAGGAACUGCCCUCCAAACUGCUUGGCUUGAGACCGGGAGAGGUGAGUGGAAUUCCCAGUGUAGCGGUGAAAUGCGUAGAUAUUGGGAGGAACACCAGUGGCGAAGGCGGCUCACUGGACCACAACUGACGCUGAGGCGCGAAAGCUAGGGGAGCAAACAGG